rnacentral:rRNA from 1 species
UACGGAGGGUGCAAGCGUUAUCCGGAUUCACUGGGUUUAAAGGGUGCGUAGGUGGGCAGGUAAGUCAGUGGUGAAAUCUCCGGGCUUAACCCGGAAACUGCCAUUGAUACUAUCUGUCUUGAAUACCGUGGAGGUGAGCGGAAUAUGUCAUGUAGCGGUGAAAUGCUUAGAUAUGAACAUAGAACACCAAUUGCGAAGGCAGCUCACUACACGAAUAUUGACACUGAGGCACGAAAGCGUGGGGAUCAAACAGG